rnacentral:rRNA from 1 species
GACCUAAAGGAACGUUUAAGACUAAGACGUUGAUAGGCUGGAUGUGUAAGCGUAGCGAUACGUUGAGCUAACCAGUACUAAUGAACCGUGAGGCUUAACCUG